AGCUUUAGGAAAAGAUCUAAGGUUAAACCUGCCCAAUGUAAAAUAUUAAUGGCCGCGGUACUUUGACCGUGCUAAGGUAGCGUAAUCAGUUGGCUUUUAAUUGGGGUCAGGAAUGAAUGGAAUUUCGUAGUUUUUCUGUCUCCUAAAUAAUUAUUCGAAAUUACUGUGUAGGUGAAAAAGCCUUCAAUCAGAAAAAAGACGAGAAGACCCUUAGAGUUUUACUAAAGGUAAAAUAAUUAAUAGAUUGUCAUUACUUCAGUUUAGUUGGGGCAACAUAGGAGAAAAUGGAGUAUUACAAAUUUAUAACCUCCUAAAUUAAAUAAAUCGAUAUUUAUAAAUUUGUAUAAACUACCUUAGGGAUAACAGCAUUAUUUUAUAAAUAAGUUUGUGACCUCGAUGUUGGACUGGGAACCUAAAAGGCUAGCCGUUUUUUAGUAAGGUUCUGUUCGAACUAUUAUAUUCCC
rnacentral:rRNA from 1 species